AGCUGCGCGUUGAGCACAUAGCGAACUAUUCUUUCGCCUUUUACUAAAGAAGACCGUGUGCUCGUCGCAAUUCAAGCAGCAUACGCCACUUUUUGAAGGGUGUUUUCGUUUUGGAAAACC